CCGCUGCUCACCAUCGCCGGAAAAUUCUCUCUAAUGAUUUCCAUCUCUAGUCAGUCCUCAUCCGAACCCCACAGCAGAAGACCCAAAAUCCCACCGGGCGACGUCCUUCCUCGCAAGAGCUCGUUUAACUCGCUUAAUUCUCUCCUUGCGCAUUCCUAUUUUACUCAAUCCCGCGUAUGGCUCCUCCUCUCCAUCUUCUCCUUCCAGAUCAUUCUCCUCAUUGGUCUCCGCUCAAUUCUUCUCUCUUUUAACUACCGCCGCCACCAUUUUCCCUCUCCGUACACUGCUCACCACCGUGUCAGCAUUCCCACUAACACCAUUAUCGAUAUCAGCCACCCUAGAAUAACAACUGAUCAUGAUGAUGAAUGUAGAUCAGGAAGGAUCUUUGUCUACGAUCUUCCCAGCAGGUUCAACACUGAAUUGAUUAGAAAUUGCGAUGAGUUAAACCCAUGGAGUACCAGGUGUGAUGCGUUGGCGAAUGACGGUUUUGGCCAGAAAGCCACAGAGAUUUUUGCGCUUGUUCCGAAAAAUCUCGCUCCCGCCUGGUACUGGACCGACCAAUUCGUCUCGGAGAUUAUCUUCCACAA
rnacentral:misc_RNA from 1 species